CUCAGUCCCAGCUCUGGUAUAUAUAGGAUCAGCUCAGCCCUGCAUUUCAUACAGCUUCACAGAGCAUCCAGAGAGACUCACUGAGAUUCUGUUACUAUAGCAACAAGCAUGGACCCCCAGGACUGUAAUUGCGCAACAGGUAUGGAUAUAGAAACUAUCUGUAUAGAGAUAGAAUGCAUCUAACUAAUUAUUAUUAUUACUGGCAUUUAUAAAGCAACAACAAAUUCUGCAGUGCUGUACAAUUAGGGAAAAAGACAAACACAAUAAUAACAGACUGAUUACAACAGGUAGAGGGCCCUGCCCGUGAGCUUACAAUCUAAAGGUUAAACUGUGGAGAUGAGACAAGAGGUAGCAGAGGAAUUUGUAUGUGAUGGCAGAGAGAGUUAAUGGUAUAACUGCAGCAGCUGAUAACAUGUGAAAGUAAUAGGGAGGUGAUUGGUGUGGCUCCAAACAGCUAGAGAUGCAUGCUAUAUAGUUAGAAGGAAACAGGGUGGGUAGAGCCGAGUAAAAUUUAAAUUGGCCUUAUGUAUUUAAGGAGAUAUACAUAAUCUAUACAAUUAUCCAGAUGGAUGUUUACUCUGCUUAAACUGACUCUAUAAAUUGAAUCAGUGAAUUGUGUAAUGUGCACUGCCUCUUACUUACAGUACAUCCAUAUAUUGGCAAUUAUUUAGGUAGAGGCUCUGUAAAUGGGGCAAAUUGCUAGAUUCAGACCAAACUUAAAGAUGUGGUUGCGUUUUCAACUAUUCCCUAUUAAUAGUUUUAUUCCUGGGUUAAUGUAAACAUAUUAUAGAAUAGCAGGGUUUAUUCACUAGAAGUCAAAUUGCAAUGCCCUGAAAACUGGAUUGUAAAAAUGCACAGCUGUGCCUAUAGGGGGUUGGAUACAUUUCCCAGAUCAGCUGUGUUUUUUUUUUUUUUAUUUAUUUUUUUUAUUUAUAUCGCCAUCAGAUUCCGUAGCUCUGUACAAUGGGUCUUUUAAAAAAUAAUUUAAAAAAAAUUUCCGUCUUGGUUUUCCCCCCCCCUAAUGAUUGCAAUUUGGUUUUUAGCUGUUUGUGGGUUUGGGUUUUUUUUUUUGUGAAUUUCCCCUCCAUCAUGCUUGAAACACAUUGAAGCUUCUUACAAGCAAUAUGGAAAACUACCAGGUUUAUAAAUUGGAUUAGGACCAUAGGCUGUAUUAAAAUACAGUAGAUUUACUGACACCUAAUGGCGGUAGGACAAUUUCUCCUUUAUCCCGAAAUGCGUUGGUUGUUAUUACUCUAAUAUCCUGUAACCUGAUUUCUUUCCCAGGUGCUACCUGCAAUUGUGGUGAUGCCUGCAAAUGUAAGAACUGCAAAUGUAAAUCCUGCAAGAAAAGUAAGUGCUCUUAAAUGCAGCCUAUUGUGUGGGUGAGGGGAGGAGGAUGGGAAGUAUAUUAUAAAAAUGAACACUGUACUCCAGGGUAGCUCACUAACUCUACACUGAAUUAUGGGGGGCUAUUCUCGUUUGAGGGUCUGUAUGUAUAUAUGGCAUCUAAAGCUGAACAGAGGGGAAAAAAAUCCAAGUCUAUCAUGUCUUUAGUCUGCCUAUUUAGGUCCCAAAUUACAAACUCCUUUUUUAAUUCCUGACAAACACAAUUUUGUUUUGCAUUAUGAGCACAGAUUGGUAACUCCUCCAGCAGCCAAGUGCUACCACUCUCGUGUGUGUUGUCUCCAAGAAAAAAAAACCUUUCUGUGACCGAUAUCUGUCACGGACAUGUCCUCCAAAUUUGUAAUUAAACCAUGCGUUUAUUUACUAAAUCUAGAAUUGCUGUGACUAACCAUUCAAAUAAACGUUCCAUAUAUAUAUAUAUAUAUAUAUAUAUAUAUAUAUAUAUAUAUAUAUAUAUAUAUAUAUAUAUAUAUAUAUAUAUAUAUAUAUAUAUAUAUAUAAAUAAAUUUUUUUUUUACCUAAAUGUUGUAGUUUACCCCCUUAAGGACACAUGUCAUGAUUCCCUUUUAUUCCAGAAGUUUGGUCCUUAAGGGGUUAAUUCACUACAGCUUGGUGUCUGACAAGUUAGCUGCCCUGAAGAAAGUUCAGAUCUCAAACCGAAAUGUUGACGGUGAUUGAAUAAUGGUAAACGCUUAUUAAAGGACAACUGUCACCUCAAAACUAAUAAAUCAUAAAUAUAACCCUAUCAAAACUUGGUGAAAGGAUUAUUUUAUUAAAAUAGCUGUGACUCCUAUUCUUAAGAAGUUGGUAUACUAUCACAGCAUAUACCAAGGACCCUACGGGGCAGAGUUUUAUUUAAUUUCCCAAGGCUUCUGUUCUGUUACGGAACUGCUAAACGUUGAAGAUCACAAUGAAUUCCGUUCAGACUGCACUGAUUGGCUGAUCUUUCUCACAUUUGGCUGUUUAUAUAGUCUCUCUAGAAUUUUAUAAUAACAUGUUCAUUGUGCUCACAUUAUGUUUAACUGUAAGGUGGUGCAAACAAGCCCUUCUUCUGACCCUGUUUCUCCCUCCUCUCCCACAGGUUGCUGCCCCUGCUGUCCAGCAGAUUGCAGUAAAUGCAGCCAGGGCUGUCAGUGUGAAAAGGGAAAUGCAAACUGCAGCUGCUGCAAGUGAUUGGUGGAUCUGCGUCUCUUACUCUGUAAUUUCUGUGUUCUGGCCUCAUCUGUUUUAAUGAUCUGCAGUAUUUUUGUUAAAAACCUGUAAAAUGUUUUAAUUCUUACUGUUUUCAUAAUAAAGAAUUCUAAGUUAAAAGUUAAUUGUGUUACUAAUUAGUGAUUCCGUGUCUCAAACCUAUUUUGCUGUAA